rnacentral:tRNA from 1 species
GAGGGUAUAGCUCAGUGGUAGAACAAGUACUUAGCAUGCACAAGGUCCUGAGUUCGAAUACCCAGUACCUCCA